rnacentral:rRNA from 1 species
GACGAACGCUGGCGGCGUGCUUAACACAUGCAAGUCGAACGGAAAGGCCCUGCUUUUGUGGGGUGCUCGAGUGGCGAACGGGUGAGUAACACGUGAGUAACCUGCCCUUGACUUUGGGAUAACUUCAGGAAACUGGGGCUAAUAUCGGAUAGGAGCCCCUGCUGCAUGGUGGGGGUUGGAAAGUUUCGGCGGUUGGGGAUGGACUCGCGGCUUAUCAGCUUGUUGGUGGGGUAGUGGCUUACCAAGGCUUUGACGGGUAGCCGGCCUGAGAGGGUGACCGGCCACAUUGGGACUGAGAUACGGCCCAGACUCCUACGGGAGGCAGCAGUGGGGAAUAUUGCACAAUGGGCGGAAGCCUGAUGCAGCAACGCCGCGUGCGGGAUGACGGCCUUCGGGUUGUAAACCGCUUUCGCCUGUGACGAAGCGUGAGUGACGGUAAUGGGUAAAGAAGCACCGGCUAACUACGUG